rnacentral:rRNA from 1 species
AGUUUGAUCCUUGCUCAGAUUGAACGCUGGCGGCAUGCCUUACACAUGCAAGUCGAACGGUAACAGGUCUUCGGAUGCUGACGAGGGGCGAACGGGUGAGUAAUACAUCGGAACGUGCCCGAUCGUGGGGGAUAACGGAGCGAAAGCUUUGCUAAUACCGCAUACGAUCUACGGAUGAAAGCAGGGGACCGCAAGGCCUUGCGCGGACGGAGCGGCCGAUGGCAGAUUAGGUAGUUGGUGGGAUAAAAGCUUACCAAGCCGACGAUCUGUAGCUGGUCUGAGAGGACGACCAUUCACACUUGGAAUGGGACACGGCCCAUACUCCUACGGGUUGCAUCAGUGGGGUAUUUUGGA